UUUUCAUGAAGGACAGCUGUGAGGCCACCCAGGGCUCCCAGACUCCGGUCUCAGAGACACUGAGGAGAGACCAGUGUUCCCAGUCCUGACCUCCCUCAGUGGAACAUCACACUGGUCUCACUCGGCUGCAGUCAUUAACUCUGCCUCUUGCUUCUUGUCUGUCUCUUUCUUUCUCAUUGAUCACGUUUUGCAGAGUUUUGCAGUUUUGAUUAUUUCAAUAAAAACUUCUUCAUCAAGUCACUUGUUUUCAUAUAUUGCUGUGACAGAAACAAGUCUUGCUGUCUAAAUGUUUCCAUUAAAUCCAGAAUAAAGUCA